AUUGAACGCUGGCGGCAGGCCUAACACAUGCAAGUCGAACGGUAACAGGAAACAGCUUGCUGUUUCGCUGACGAGUGGCGGACGGGUGAGUAAUGUCUGGGAAACUGCCUGAUGGAGGGGGAUAACUACUGGAAACGGUAGCUAAUACCGCAUAACGUCGCAAGACCAAAGAGGGGGACCUUCGGGCCUCUUGCCAUCAGAUGUGCCCAGAUGGGAUUAGCUAGUAGGUGGGGUAACGGCUCACCUAGGCGACGAUCCCUAGCUGGUCUGAGAGGAUGACCAGCCACACUGGAACUGAGACACGGUCCAGACUCCUACGGGAGGCAGCAGUGGGGAAUAUUGCACAAUGGGCGCAAGCCUGAUGCAGCCAUGCCGCGUGUAUGAAGAAGGCCUUCGGGUUGUAAAGUACUUUCAGCGGGGAGGAAGGGAGUAAAGUUAAUACCUUUGCUCAUUGACGUUACCCGCAGAAGAAGCACCGGCUAACUCCGUA
rnacentral:rRNA from 1 species